rnacentral:rRNA from 1 species
AUGUGCAGUUAAUCACCCUGCAGCCCAAGAGCAGCUACUCACUUAAGCCAAGCGGGUCUGAGCCUGGUUGGUAUCUGGAUGGGAGACCACAUGGAAAAACUAGGUUGCUGUUGGCA